rnacentral:rRNA from 1 species
UUAUUAAAAACGAAUUUUUUAUUGCUAGGGUAGUAUUAGUUAAUUCUUGAAACUCAAAAAAUUUGGCGGUAUUUUAGUCUAUUCAGAGGAACCUGUAAUGUAAUUGAUAAUCCACGUUGGACCUUACUUAAUUUUGUUUUCAAUUUGUAUACCGCCGUUAUUAAAAAUUUUAUAAGAAAAAUAAUUUUUAUAAAUUUUUAUAAAAAAGUAAAUCAGGUCAAGGUGCAGUUUAUAAUUAAGUAUUAUAUGGGUUACAAUAAAUUUAUUUAUAUGAAUUAAUUUUUGAAAUUAAAUUAUGAAAGUGGAUUUGAUAGUAAUUUUUAAUAGAUUAUAAAAUUGAUU